rnacentral:rRNA from 1 species
CCUACGGGAGGCAGCAGUGGGGGAUAUUGCACAAUGGGGGAAACCCUGAUGCAGCGACGCCGCGUGGGUGAAGAAGCGCCUCGGCGCGUAAAGCCCUGUCAGCAGGGAAGAAAAUGACGGUACCUGAAGAAGAACCCCCGGCUAACUACGUGCCAGCAGCGGCGGUAAUACGGAGGGGGCAACCGUUAUCCGGAAUUACUGGGGGUAAAGGGGGCGCAGACGGCGAUGCAAGCCAGGAGUGAAACCCCGGGGCCCAACCCCGGGACUGCUGUUGGAACUGCGUGGCUAGAGUGCAGGAGGGGCAGGCGGAAUGCCUGGUGUAGCGGUGAAAUGCGUAGAUAUCAGGAGGAACACCGGUGGCGAAGGCGGCCUGCUGGACGGCAACUGACGUUGAGGCCCGAAAGCGUGGGGAGCGAACAGGAUUAGAUACCCUGGUAGUC